GACAGCCUGAGGCCUGUGCUCGAGGUCAAUGAGAGCACAAAGACCGAGAAUGCACAUCUUCCUGUCGUGGAGGCUGUGAGGGGAACAGAAAGUGAAAUUACUGAUAGCUGAUAACUUUGGCUGUUGGUCAUAUACUAAAUUACCAGAUUGAGGUGUACAUUAGUUAGACACUGACCUGGUCAAUGCCACGACCUUUGCACUGCAGAAUGAUCACCUCCAGCAGCUUGGCUGCAUGGCACUCUGGGUCCUCGCCUGGAUCACCUGUCAGGACCUGUGUGAAGUGACACGGUCAGCUGAAUUUACAGGAAAACAAAUCCCCACUUUCUCUCUAAACUCAGGAUAUUGGCUUACAGAGUAUGGAUCCGGUACCAGUGCUCUUCUUUAUACCUCACAGAAACCGACUAAGCAUUUUAAUAUGAACGUAAACACUGGUUCAAAGCC